UUAUGGUAAGAUUGUGUAAUUCAAGCUUUUCGUAUCAGUUGCUUAAGGGAUGAUCUAGAGAAAUCCUCAUCCUUUGCUGUACUUCAUCCUUGCACAGGUGAAUGAAUGGCGAUCGGGAAAUAUUUCUCUUCUCUCUUUCACUGCACAAGAAAAGCUGCAGUUAUAUCGAUAAACAUAUCCUUGAAAGCUGCAGGUGCAUCAUGUCUUUUCAAGAAAGCUAUUUAUUUAUUAUUUCAAUCUGAUGAGAUGAGCCAUUUUGUAUGAAAUUCUUUGCUUAAAUGUUGGUUUUUAUAUCUUUGUGGUUGUGUUUGGCAGAUGAAGCCACUUGUAUGGAGCAAGAGGCUCCCAGUAUCUGGUUUGAUGGCAUCUUGUUCAGUAUGUGUGGUAGUAGUAGUAGUAGCUGGCUGUUGUAAUCUUUGACUAAAUUGUUUGUUGUUGUUGUUUAUUUGUCUUCUAGCUUGUAUUUUUUAAUUAGAGGAUUAAAUUAAGCAUAUCCAAAAUGGGUUUUGUCCUUUGACAAGAUUGAUUGAUGAACAGGCUUGUUAGAAGAACUGCUUCAAGAACAAAAUUAGUACCUUCAGAAGGCUUGUUCUUCAGGCUCAGUGACAGUGACCAUCCUUGGGCUUGACAACAUUAGUCUCCUCCUCCUUUUUCUUGCCCUUACCUAUGUUUUUAGGCUUAGGCUUAGGCUUUGUAGGGAAAGAAGAGCCUUUCUCAAAAACAGCCACAGCAACAGUCCCACUCCCACUCUCCUUCUUGGAAGUCUUUCCAGGUGUGUCAACUUGUCAAGCAAGUUCAAUAGCUCAGCAAGAGUUUGCGCAUUGCCUACCUUCACAACAUCAAACGUUUUGAAGCAAACCCCUUCAAAAAUAAACAAAUACUUUGUGUUCCCCAUAUUAGGGUGAAGGGCAGGAGAGAGAGAGAGAGAGAGAGAGAGAGAGAGAGAGAGAGAGAGAGAGAGAGCAUAGUAAAUGUUUGGUUUUUAUAUCUUUGGUUGUAUUUGGCAGAUAAAGCCACUUGUGAGAAGCAAGAGGUUCCCAGUAUCUGGUUUGAUGGC
rnacentral:lncRNA from 1 species